AAUACCAGUAAGUGAGAGUGGUGUAAUUUCAGGGAUAAUGUUAAAUUGCACUAUUUUGAAAAUUUUGGUAUUUCAACCAAUAUUGGUAGUAAGUGAUUUGUGGUACCUUUGCCAAUGAUUUUGAUUCAUCAGUGCUUUUUGAUAUUGCUGCUGAGAGUUACUGAUGUCAGAGACUUCCCUCAGAGGGUAUAAUUGAUUUCAAGAGAAAAUACUUACAGAAGAAGGCUAGCAAUAUGAAUUACAGUAUUCUGAUAGAGGUUGUUUUUCUUUUACCUAGGACCUUGAAAAGAGGAAGCAGAGGGCCAGGAGGAAGGAUGCUAAACAUGAGUAGAAUCUUCAAAAGAAUGUGAGCUCUAUGAAGCCAUGAUAUUAGACUGCUUUCUUCACUGCCAUCUUUCCAGUGCCUAUGACAUUGCCGAGCUUAUUACAGGUCUUAGUUGCGGCACGUGGGGUCUUCGUUGAGGCGUUCCGGAUAUUUCAUUGCAGCGUGGUCUCUUCGUUGUGGCACGUGGGCUUCUCUCUAGUUGUGAUAUACAGAGAGUGGCAAAAAAGUUGAUUCUUCUGAUGUGCAUAUACCUGGCUGAGGCUGAACAAGGUAUGAAAUGAACGCAACGAGAGAGAAGAUCAGUAAAUAAUUGACCAACUCUUCGUAGAAAGACAUCUCACGUUUUGGGAAAGGUUGGAUGGGGGAAGGAGGCAAAGAAAUGGUUUAAACACUAAAGACUUUCAGAUGAUAUCAGCUGUAUGAAGACAGAGAUAUGAGUCUGUUUUGUUCACUGCUAUGUCCCUAGAGCCUACAACAGGCCCUGGUAUACAGGAGGUAUCCAGUUGAUAUUUGUGGAAUGAAUGCCAUGUACAAAAUUACAGAGAGAUGCACAGGAGGUUUCCUGCACAUUCUAAAUCAGCCAAGUCUCCUGAUGCCUGUGUGCUCUGCAUUUCUAAGACGUGAUCUGUCUUCUAUACUGAUAUGAGAGUAUUGAGGCAUAUCAUACGAGGCAUGUCAACAAGAGGAGAGCUACAUGAGAGACUUGUACAGAACAUCUUGUGUUAUUUUAUUCCAGGCUGUAACCUUCUUGAGGGCAAAGAUGGUCUUAUUCAUCCUAGUAUCCAAGAGACAGCAAUGAUGAUUUUUAUCCAUGGUAUGCAGUUAAACAAAUGUUUUGAAAGAAAGGUUAAACAAGAAGUAGAGGGCUUCCCUGGUGGCGCAGUGGUUGAGAGCCCACCUGCCGAUGCAGGGGACACGGGUUCGUGCCCCGGUCCAGGAAGAUCCCACAUGCCGCGGAGCGGCUGGGCCCGUGAGCCAUGGCCGCUGAGCCUGCGUGUCUGGAGCCUGUGCUCCACAACAGAAG